GACAGAGGGUGCAAACGUUGUUCGGAAUUACUGGGCGUAAAGCGCGUGUAGGCGGCUAAGUAAGUCGGGCGUGAAAUCCCACGGCUCAACCGUGGAAGUGCACUCGAAACUGCAUAGCUAGAGUCCUGGAGAGGAAGGUGGAAUGCUUGGUGUAGAGGUGAAAUUCGUAGAUAUUGGGAAGAACACCGGUGGCGAAGGCGGCUCACUGGCUCGUAACUGACGCUCAUGCACGACAGCGUGGGGAUCAAACAGG
rnacentral:rRNA from 1 species